rnacentral:rRNA from 1 species
UGGGGAAUAUUGCACAAUGGGGGAAACCCUGAUGCAGCGACGCCGCGUGAGCGAAGAAUGCUUUCGUGUCGUAAAGCUCUGUCCUAUGAGAAGAUAAUGACGGUAUCAUAGUAGGAAGCCCCGGCUAAAUACGUGCCAGCAGCCGCGGUAAUACGUAUGGGGCGAGCGUUGUCCGGAAUUAUUGGGCGUAAAGGGUACGUAGGCGGUUUUUUAAGUCAGGUGUCAAAGCGUGGAGCUUAACUCCAUUAAGCACUUGAAACUGAAAGACUUGAGUGAAGGAGAGGAAAGUGGAAUUACUAGUGUAGCGGUGAAAUGCGUAGAUAUUAGGAGGAAUACCGGUGGCGAAGGCGGCUCUCUGGUCUGUAACUGACGCUGAGGCUCGAAAGAGUGGGGAGCGAACAGG